rnacentral:rRNA from 1 species
UACGUAGGGGGCUAGCGUUGUCCGGAAUCAUUGGGCGUAAAGCGCGUGUAGGCGGUUCGGUAAGUCCGCUGUGAAAGUCGGGGGCUCAACCCUCGAAUGCCGGUGGAUACUGUCGGACUAGAGUACGGAAGAGGCGAGUGGAAUUCCUGGUGUAGCGGUGAAAUGCGUAGAGAUCAGGAGGAACACCCAUGGCGAAGGCAGCUCUCUGGUCGACCUCUGACGCUGAGACGCGAAAGCGUGGGGAGCGAACGGG